rnacentral:rRNA from 1 species
CAGUCGCCGCGGGAAUACGGAGGGUGCAAGCGUUAAUCGGAAUUACUGGGCGUAAAGCGCACGCAGGCGGUCUGACAAGUCAGAUGUGAAAUCCCCGGGCUUAACCUGGGAACUGCAUUUAAAACUGUCAGGCUGGAGUCUUGUAGAGGGGGGUGGAAUUCCAGGUGUAGCGGUGAAAUGCGUAGAGAUCUGGAGGAAUACCGGUGGCGAAGGCGGCCCCCUGGACAAAGACUGACGCUCAGGUGCGAAAGCGUGGGGAGCAAACAGGAUUAGAUACCCGUGUAGUCCCUGUCUCUUAUAA